CGGCGGACGGGUGAGUAAUGCCUAGGAAUCUGCCUGGUAGUGGGGGACAACGUUUCCGAAAGGAACGCUAAUACCGCAUACGUCCUACGGGAGAAAGCAGGGACCUUCGGGCCUUGCGCUAUCAGAUGAGCCUAGGUCGGAUUAGCUAGUUGGUGAGGUAAUGGCUCACCAAGGCGACGAUCCGUAACUGGUCUGAGAGGAUGAUCAGUCACACUGGAACUGAGACACGGUCCAGACUCCUACGGGAGGCAGCAG
rnacentral:rRNA from 1 species